CCUUCCUCCUCCAUAAAGCUAGAUGAUGAUGACAGCACUCCCAAACUCCUGGGUUAUACUACCAAAGCUCCCAUUUGUCCAAAGCCUUCUCCAUUCCGACUCUCCAAGGCCAAGAGGUCCUAAGAAGAUAAAACAAGAUCUCUUGAGAACAUCUCUGACUUGAGGGUGAAGUUCCACUGACCGACUGGCCGGAUGGAGGGUGUGACUUAACUACAGUGAUGGGAGGUGCUGAGUGCGAGAGAGUUGUCAAAUGUUACCCUGGGGGGUGGAGGCAUAUCUGUUUGAGAUUUUGACUGAUUAAAUGGUUGUUUGGUUAUUUGUUUCCUCCUGACUCAUAUGCCUUUGUCAUGCACAGGCACCUUGGAAACAAUAAGAGCUACAAUUCUGAGAGCCACAUGCUCUGCCAAGCAAAAUGCUGAAUAAGCAGGAAGCGCCCACCGCACCCUGGGAUUGGGAACUGAAAUAGGCUGAAAAGAUAGUUCUCUUCCAGGACCAGAUCCCUACAGAAACUCCCCAAUGAUCACAAGAGCAAAGAGGUUCCCCCCCGGCCAGUUUGGAGCUACUCUGAGAGCCACGCCUGAUGCCUGAGGCAAGAAAGAAAGUGAGCUGAUGCCAGAAGAGCCUGCCCGGACUGGCUGGUCUGACAUUACUGUGAGCAGUAGCCUGUCCACCCCUUAUUUAAAGCUUACAAUGUCUGUUCUUGUUGCAGAAACAGACCUGGCAUUAGGAGCUUUCCAGACCAACCCUCGGCAGCUCUGUAGAGCAGUAAUUAAAUCACCAGACCAUGAUGCUUGCUUUCUGUUCUUUUCACACCUGUCUGCCAGCAGU